rnacentral:misc_RNA from 1 species
GCAUCUUCGACAGAAUUUCUCUGAGAUAAUCACAGCGACUGCGGUGAUAAUCAAUCCACAAGCACAGCUGCCUUAUUGCCUCCCUCUUCUCCUCUCCCAGGUCUAAUAUACUUUCAUCCCUCUCUUUCAUCAACUUCUCUGAUGCUGCCAACUUUUUCUCCAAUUGGUUGACAGCUAUAGUUAAGUUAUCUUUCUCCCCUUCAUCCUUUUUCACCUUGAUCUCUAGUUGUUCAACCUUCUCUCUCAAUGCUGAUUCCCGUUCUUUUGUAACUUGCAGUUGUACUACUAGAUCACCUACUUCUUUUCCAAGUUUUUCCUUCUCAUUCUUCGUGUCAAUUACCCUAUUCUUUGCAAUCUGAAUCUCAUUUGACAUUUCCAAAAUGCGUUGUGCAUAGCUGUUGCAGUCCUCUUCAUAUUUAAGGGUCAAAGCUUCUAGUACUGUCAAAGUACUGUUCACUUUCUCUGAGGUAUCUGUGACCAUACUCUGACAAGCUUCAUUGGUAGCAGCUAUCAUUCCCAACUGCAUAGCAAUCCUUUUCUCCAGCACUCUCAGCUCAUGCUGGAAACCUGCUUCUGCUUUCCUAAAGCUCUCUUCCUUCUCAGUUAGUAAUUGUUCUGUGACAUGGAGCUUCUGGUUUGACAACCGGAGCUUAACUUCAAUAUUGCGGACAUUCACAACCAUGGUAUUGAGUUCAUCUCCUUUUACUUCAAGAUCUUUUGUCAGGUCCUCAACUGUUUCUUCCAGUUCAGCUACUUUCUGAUCUUGGGAACUGGCAUUCUUCUGAAAUUGUUCUGCCAUUUCUUCUACUUUCCUUUCAACUGCUUUGAUGUUUUCCUUGCUCUCCUGGAACCAACCUUCCACCUGCUUAUACUCCUCACUCAGCUUCCUGUAUGCCUCCUCCUGCUCUGCCAGCACCUUUUGCUGAUCUGCAAUUUUGCUCAUGAACUCAGACUUUUGAUUUUCCAUUUCUAUCAGGCUUUCUGAAAAUUUUUGUAUCUCUUUCUGAAGCUGCAACUGCAAUUGGUUUUUCUCAUCCUGUAAGCAAUCUAAUUCCAGUUGCAGAUUGUUAGAUUGUGUUGUUAAGGCCGUUAUCUGAGCAGAAGCUUCAUUCUCUCCUUUUUCAUGUCUCUCCUGGAGGGCAGAGUAAUCUAGCCUUCUCUCCGUUAACAUUCUUUCAAAAUCAAAAAUUUUAUUCUGUAACCCCACCAUUUCCUCUCCUAACCGUCCACUCUCUUUGAUUUCAGUUCUUGCUUGCUCUUCAAGAUCAGUUUUCUGGUUUCGUAAAUUCUCCACCUCCAAUUCCAGAUUUUUCAUUUGCCCUGUCAAACUUUCUCUCUCUCCAAGAAUCCUCUGAUAAUCUUCAGCAUAGUGUGCUAUCUCCUCUUUCAGAUUUUCUAUCAGAACCAGGAACUCUGAAAUUUUCUGAGUUUUCGUCUCCAGUUUCACUUCCAGUUCAGCUUUCUCAUUGUGUAAGGACUCCAUUUGCUGUUGUAACUCGUUAACCUGAUCCAUCAGACCCUUGACUUGACUUGAUGCUUCAUCGCCUUUACUUACCAUCUGUUCUUCCAAUUCUGCUUUCUGGGUGUUUAAACAUUCCAAGUCUGCUAGAAGAGUGUUGACUUGUGCUGUCAGGCUUUCUACUUUAGACAAUGAUUCCUUCUCAUCAUCAUCAAGUUUCUUUCUAAGAGCCAACAGUUCAUCUCCUCUCUCUUUCGACAUUAUUUCAAGUUCUGAAUUUUGGGCUUUUAGUAGUAAAUUUUCUUCUCCCAGUCCUUUUAUUUCAGACACUUUGCUCUCAAUCUGUACCCCCAUAUCUCUAUUAUGGGCUCUAAAUGACUCAAGCUCCAGUUCCAGGCCAGUCACUCGAGCCUCUAAUUCCUUUAUCUGAGCUGACAAUACAUUCCUAUGUGCCUUGUGCACAGAAGCAAGGGAUGACAACUCUCUGUCCUUCUCACUCAAUUUCUCCUUCAUGUGAAUCUCUUUCUCCACAAUCAAGUUGUCCUUCUCUUUGCUCAUCUCCUGCAAUCUCUCGUUCAGUUCUGCUUCUACAUUGCCAGAAGCAUCAAGGUUUUGCUUCAACUCUCCAUUCUCAACCAAAAGUUUUUCUUUCUCCACAUCUAGUCUUUCAACUUCAAACUUCAACUUUUUACUGAUCUCCUCUGCUGCUUGUAUUUUGCUUAAAGCUGUCUGAUGUUCCAAAUUUAAAGCUUCCUUUUCUUCAGUGGUAGCAGUAAACUUACCCUUCAGUUCUGCAACUUCUAGAUUUUUCAUUUCAAGUUCUUGCUUUAUGACAUCUGUUAUCUUCUGAUAUUCACUUUCGAGUUUUCCAUUUUUACUUCCUUUGUCUUUGGAAGAAUAAUCAGAUUCUGAGUCUGAGCUCGAUGAAGAGGUCUCUGCUCCUUGUUUCCCAUGAAAUUUCUUUCUUAGCUCUCCAGUCAGAUGAUCAUAUUGUUCAUAAAGCAAUUGGUAAUGUUUGUGGAAAUCCUCAAUUAGCUCAACCAGAGGUUCUUUUUUGGAGUUUUCUACUGAGAGCCCAUCAUUUUCUUCGACGUCUUCCUCUUUGAGAAGCUUCAAGAUCUUCUUUACUUUGUUCUCAAUUUCUGUUUUAGUUCCUUUUAGCUGUUCAUCUUGCUCUGAAUCAAUAUGACUACCAAAGAAUGAUUUUAUAGACUCUCUCCACCGCCGCCUUGUCAUCUUCCCUUUGAAUUUUCAAUUAGUUUUCCUUGUCAAGAACAUUAAGACAAGGAGUCAUCUUGCACCCAAAAUUUUAAAAUCAGGAAAUUUCUCUUUUUUGGUUCUCUUUCCCCGUCUAGUCUUCUUCAGAAAGCUUCACCAAUGUUCUGCAAUACCAAUCUGCAGAAAGAUAAAGAAAAGUUCUGAACUUAUGAUUAACCAAAAGGCAUAAAAGAAAAAGAGAAACAAGUAAUCAAACGAUCACGAGUUCUUUAAUUAGACCUAUUUUAAAUUUGAAUAAAAAAACUAAAAAAAAAAAAGAUCAAAGCAGAUAAGAAAUGAACGAAGAAAACUAGAAAACCAUAACGCCGCUCAUGCAUGCAUACUCGAUUAUUCAAUUUCGAAUAACAUAACAACUCGAUCUAAUAAACAAGAACUUCACUAGAAAUUAAGUUUGAUGCACAGUUCAGUGUUCAAGAACAUGAAAUCAAAGAUCCAAUCCGAAAAGAAGAAAGAACAAACUCGAAAGAUUGGAAAGUGAAAAGUUAAUCAGAUUGAUAAUGAUAUGGAUUACCUCUAAAUCAGAGCUGAAAAUCUCGAUUUCAGUAACGGAGAACCUAAAAGGAAACGCUCAGAAGAGAGAGAACCAAGAGAAAGAGAAGCAGUGUCUCCAAUGAGAGGGAGAGAGAGAGAUUUAUUUCUAUUUAAUUAAAAAAAGAAUUAAACGGAAAGUGGUUUUGUUUGGAUUAGAGCACUCAAAGCGACUUGCACAGCAUUUGUAGCUUCAAUUGCAGGAGAGCAGGAGGAAUGGAAUCUUUGGACCUUUC